GUCGGAUCCCAUCAGAACUCCGCAGUUAAGUACGCUUGGGCCAUAGUGGUACUGGGAUGGUUGACCUCUCAGGAAGUCCUAGUGUUGCACCCU
rnacentral:rRNA from 1 species